GCGCGGGGCACGCUGGGACGUCUCGCUGGCGGGAGGCCACGGGCUUUCCACAGCGCGGGGGAACGAGAGGCUGCAGGAUGGUCAAGCUGACGGCGGAGCUGAUCGAGCAGGCGGCGCAGUACACUAACGCGGUGCGCGACCGGGAGCUGGACCUCCGGGUAUCCUAAGAAAUCCGGUAACCAAUAAGAAGCAUUACAGAUUGUAUGUGAUUUAUAAAGUUCCGCAAGUCAGAGUACUGGAUUUCCAGAAAGUGAAACUAAAAUUUUAAUCCAGGUGCUGGUUUGCCAACUGACAAAAAGAAAGGUGGGCCAUCUCCAGGGGAUGUAGAAGCAAUCAAGAACGCUAUAGCAAAUGCUUCAACUCUGGCUGAAGUGGAGAGGCUGAAGGGGUUGCUGCAGUCUGGUCAGAUCCCUGGCAGAGAACGCAGAUCGGGGCCCACUGAUGAUGGUGAAGAAGAGAUGGAAGAAGACACAGUCACAAACGGGUCCUGAGCAGUGAGGCAGAUG
rnacentral:sRNA from 1 species